AUACGCCGGGCCAAGUCCCUUGGAAAAGGGCAGCAGAGAGGGUGAGACUCCCGUCCGCCUGGUGGAGUGAGUUGCGUGUCGACGAGUCGAGUUGUUUGGGAUUGCAGCUCAAAUUGGGUGGUAAAUUCCAUCUAAGGCUAAAUAUUGGUGGGAGACCGAUAGCGUACAAGUACCGUGAGGGAAAGAUGCAAAGAACUUUGAAAAGAGAGUUAAAAAGUACCUGAAAUUGCUGAAAGGGAAGCGAAGGAAACCAGUGUAAAGCG
rnacentral:rRNA from 1 species